rnacentral:rRNA from 1 species
UACGAAGGGGGCUAGCGUUGCUCGGAAUCACUGGGCGUAAAGGGUGCGUAGGCGGCGCGGUAAGUCGGGGUGUGAAAUCUAGGAGCUCAACUCCUAAACUGCACUGGAUACUGCUCUGCUAGAGGACUGGAGAGGAGACUGGAAUUCACGGUGUAGCAGUGAAAUGCGUAGAUAUCGUGAGGAAGACCAGUGGCGAAGGCGGGUCUCUGGACAGUUCCUGACGCUGAGGCGCGAAGGCCAGGGGAGCAAACGGG